rnacentral:lncRNA from 1 species
GGUUUUGAAGUUUUGAAGCUUAAAAGGGAGUUUUGGAGCUUGGAGGCUUUUGGAGCUUGGAUCCUCCACACCUCCGAGUUAGGGAUCACACCACCCCUCGAUCUUCAAGAGGUAAGUGUAGAUCCUUGCUUCCCUACUGUUUUUAAUGAAAUUUUAGUGAGUUUAAGGAUGUUUUGAAGGUUGAGUAUGGGUAGAUAUGCAUGUAGGGUUUAUGUGGGUUUUAUACCCAAUGCAUGUUUAUGUGAUGUUAUGUUGAAAGUUUAAGUUAGUUUAUACAUGUGGGAGAGUGUAUGCAUGAUUGGGAAAGAGCAAGUGAGAUUAUGGGGUGUUUUGAUGAUUUUGGCCUAUGUGGGUCAUAAGCUAUCUAUGCAUGCUUUGGAUGUUGUUUUUGGAGUUUAAAAUCUAGUUGUUAAGCUCCUUUAUGCAUGACUAAGGGUUUAUGCUUGAUUUUGAGAAGUUUAUGUAUGUUUUUAGAGGUUGGAUGCUUGUUUUGGGGGUUUGGGAGGCUUGUAUGCACAAGGGCUGAGUUCUGGAAGAACUCAGGUUCGGCCGCCGAAGGUGGUUUCGGCCGCCGAACAUGCCUAUGGAUGCAUGAAUUGGCCGCCAAACCUUACCCCCGAAAGUU